rnacentral:rRNA from 1 species
CUAGACGAGUUUGAUCCUGGCUCAGGACAAACGCUGGCGGAAUGUAUUAGGCAUGCAAGUCGUACGAACCUUCGGGUUAGUGGCGAACGGGUGAGUAACACGUGGGUAACCUGCCUCGUAGUGGGGAAUAACUCGCCGAAAGGCGAGCUAAUACCGCAUAACACCCCCGGUGAGAAUCCGGGUGGUAAAAGCUCCGGCGCUAUGAGAGGGGCCCGCGGCCGAUUAGCUAGUUGGUGGGGUAACGGCCUACCAAGGCGACGAUCGGUAGCUGGUCUGAGAGGAUGGUCAGCCACACGGGGACUGAGAUACGGCCCCGACUCCUACGGGAGGCAGCAGCUAAGAAUCUUGCGCAAUGGGCGAAAGCCUGACGCAGCAAUUCCGCGUGGGGGACGAAGGCCCUCGGGUCGUAAACCCCUUUUGUGAGGGAAGAAGUUCUGACGGUACCUCACGAAUAAGACACGGCUAACUACGUG